rnacentral:rRNA from 1 species
AGUGAACGCUGGCGGUAGGCCUAACACAUGCAAGUCGAACGGCAGCACAGUAAGAGCUUGCUCUUACGGGUGGCGAGUGGCGGACGGGUGAGGAAUACAUCGGAAUCUACUUUUUCGUGGGGGAUGACGUAGGGAAACUUACGCUAAUACAGCAUACGACCUACGUAUGUAAGCAGGGGAUAUUCGUACAUUGCGCGAUUGACUGAGCCGAGGUCGGAUUAGCUGGUUGGCGGGGUAAAGGCCCACCAAGGCGACGAACCGAAGCUGGUCAGAGAGGAUGAUCAGCCACACUGGAACGGAGACACGGUCCAGACUCCUACGGGAGGAGGCAGUGGGGAAUAUUGGACAAUGGGCGCAAUCCUAAUCCAGCCAUACCGCGUGGGUGAAGAAGGCCUUCGGGUUUUAAAGCCUUUUUGUUGGGAAAGAAAAGCAGCAGGUUAAUACCCCGCUGUUCUGACGGUACCCAAAGAAUAAGCACCGGCUAACUUCGUG